rnacentral:rRNA from 1 species
GACGAACGCUGGCGGCGUGCUUAACACAUGCAAGUCGAACGGAAAGGCCCUGCUUUUGUGGGGUGCUCGAGUGGCGAACGGGUGAGUAACACGUGAGUAACCUGCCCUUGACUUUGGGAUAACUUCAGGAAACUGGGGCUAAUACCGGAUAGGAGCUCCUGCUGCAUGGUGGGGGUUGGAAAGUUUCGGCGGUUGGGGAUGGACUCGCGGCUUAUCAGCUUGUUGGUGGGGUAGUGGCUUACCAAGGCUUUGACGGGUAGCCGGCCUGAGAGGGUGACCGGCCACAUUGGGACUGAGAUACGGCCCAGACUCCUACGGGAGGCAGCAGUGGGGAAUAUUGCACAAUGGGCGGAAGCCUGAUGCAGCAACGCCGCGUGCGGGAUGACGGCCUCCGGGUUGUAAACCGCUUUCGCCUGUGACGAAGCGUGAGUGACGGUAAUGUGUAAAGAAGCACCGGCUGACUACGUG